GAGCAGGAGAAGAAAAAGGGGAAAACCCCUAAUUAUCACAAAUUCAGCAAAUUAAAGCCCUAGAUGUGAUUCUGAGUCCAUGCAUGUCUCGAUUUUCUGAUCAUCUAUGCAUUCUUGAACACAAGGUGUAGCAAGGCUUGGAAGACAACAUGGAAAACAAGUGGAAAUGGUGACGACUUUCUUACGGGCUAAGGUAAGUGAUCUCGAUUCACUUAUUAGUAUGUAUAUAGAAUUUUGAUAUUUAUGAAUGUGGGGAAAUCAUGUAUGGUUGUGUAAUAAGAGAGAGAAUUAAGAUAAGUAAUUCUUUUUGUUAGACGAAGGUAGUUACCUAAGAUGAAGGUAAAUUGGUGGGAUUAAACGGGUCGAAUAAAUGUGCAUAGGUAAUGAAGCAAUAUGUAAUUCGUAAAGACUAAGGACCCGGGGUAAGGUUCUUAGUCAAUUAUGAAAGGAAUUGUUUUACGGAUGUUUGGGAACAAGUUCCAAAUGCAACGGAUGCGAAACGAGCAAGUUAUGCAAAUUUUAAUAUUAAAAUGGGAUGCUGAACUGGGCUUCACCGUAGCUUACGGUGCCCACCGUAAGCUACGGUGGGAGCUGGGGCCCUACUUCUGCCGUAAGGCAGUUUACAACUGCCGUAGGACUUUUGGGGGCCACCGUAAGCUACGGUAGCCACCGUAGCUUACGGUGGAGGUUUAUUGCAUAUGUAUAGUUUACGAAUUUCUUUGUUUUUCCUUUGAUUUCGAACCCCGUAAACCCAUUCCAAGCCUCAUUAAGCAUACAUAAUGUUCCUCAACCCUACCAAAUGGCUUGGUGAGCUACGGGUGAGCAUGGAUCUCAUUCUUAAGAUCCAAAACACAUCCGAAAGAUAUUUUAAAAGUGUUUAUGAUGUGUGAGUAAGAACGGGGUAUGUGAGCGAGUAUGCGGGGUAAUGAAUUAAGUACGUGGGUAUGCAUGUAUAUAUAGAUUUCACUUCAUUCCAAGGGCUUAAGCUUAUAAGUAAUCAUAAAUAGGAGUGAGUAUGUAUAUGAGUUUGUUCGUACGUGUAUUUUUAUAUGGAGGUUCGUAAUUAGGAUAUGUCAGUAAGCCAUAAGGAAUUAUGUAUGUGAUUUGUAAGAGCUAGUAUGUAUGUAUGAUUGUAAUUAAGUAUUUUAUAAGUAUGUAUGUAAGUAUGAUGUGUGUGUGUAGUAUGUGACCGACAGUGCACAUACGGAUGUGUGUAGGUACGAUAUAGUAUUAAUUGUAUAUGAGGGAAUGGGGCUUGUAUAUGUGUGUACAUAGCCUUAAUAUGUUUGAGCACUAAGUUACUAAUCAUGUGCCUUGAGAAUGAAAUGAGAUUGCAGGUAUGCUGUGGUAGUCCAUCGUGAAGUUUUGAGGAACUGGAAUGCAAGAUUGUACUCGGAAGGAUAAUCAAAAAGUCAAGUCUGGCACACGUAGAAAGAUUGCGGCGUGAUCAAUUAAUUAUGUAUGGUAGAUUAUGAAUGUAGAUUAUCAAAUUUUAAUGACGUGCAUGUUGUGGUGAAUGUAGGUUACACGGUCUAUCGUCGGUAUGAAGUAUUGGAGGAUUGAAGAUCGAGUCAAGGGCAAGAAUUGUACGGGAAGAGUAGUCACAUAGCUCAAACGCGUAUAUGUAAUUGAUGUGAAAAUUCAUAACGAACGAUGUAAACCCUUUAAUUAACUUUAAAUAUUUCUAGUAA